rnacentral:rRNA from 1 species
AGAGUUUGAUCCUGGCUCAGAGUGAACGCUGGCGGUAGGCCUAACACAUGCAAGUCGAACGGCAGCACAGGAGAGCUUGCUCUCUGGGUGGCGAGUGGCGGACGGGUGAGGAAUGCAUCGGAAUCUACUCUUUCGUGGGGGAUAACGUAGGGAAACUUACGCUAAUACCGCAUACGACCUACGGGUGAAAGCCGGGGACCUUCGGGCCUGGCGCGAAUGAAUGAGCCGAUGCCCGAUUAGCUAGUUGGCGGGGUAAAGGCCCACCAAGGCGACGAUCGGUAGCUGGUCUGAGAGGAUGAUCAGCCACACUGAAACUGAGACACGGUCCAGACUCCUACGGGAGGCAGCAGUGGGGAAUAUUGGACAAUGGGCGCAAGCCUGAUCCAGCCAUACCGCGUGGGUGAAGAAGGCCUUCGGGUUGUAAAGCCCUUUUGUUGGGAAAGAAAAGCAGCCGGUUAAUACCUGGUUGUUCUGACGGUACCCAAAGAAUAAGCACCGGCUAACUUCGUGCCAGCAGCCGCGGUAAUACGAAGGGUGCAAGCGUUACUCGGAAUUACUGGGCGUAAAGCGUGCGUAGGUGGUUGUUUAAGUCUGUCGUGAAAGCCCUGGGCUCAACCUGGGAAUUGCGAUGGAAACUGGGCGACUAGAGUGUGGCAGAGGAUAGUGGAAUUCCUGGUGUAGCAGUGAAAUGCGUAGAGAUCAGGAGGAACAUCCGUGGGCGAAAGGCGACUGUCUGGGCCCAACCACUGACACUGAGGCACGAAAGCGUGGGGAGCAAACAGGAUUAGAUACCCUGGUAG